GUUGGUUCCAAUAAUUUACAAGGAUUGGAGGUCGGUGCCUAAAACCAUAAAGGAGGAAGCGUGGAGUCUUAUAAUGGUAUAAAACUUGUAUUAAACUAUUAUUAUUAAUUAAAUAGGUAUAUUUUGAAAAUUUUGUUAGAAAUCAAGACAUAUACUUGUGUAAAUUUAUUUUGACUGUAGGGCAAGUUUAAAGUUCCUGAUGACAAAUUGGAUGCAUUCAAAAAAUGGAUACUGAAGGACCUGGGGAAGAAAUGGAAAGACUACAAACACGAAUUGAAGAAAAAGUUACUUCAUGAAAAAGACACAUAUGCAGCACAAGUUGUGGCAAGGGCAAGUCCCGAUAUGGUGGAUUUAUCGCAACUAGCGGAGUUGGCCAAUCUUUGGUUCGAUCCAGAAUAUAAGUCAAAAUGUAAUAAAAAUAAGGAGUGUCGUAAGAAGCAGUUGGUUGUUCACAGCGGAGGAUCAAAAAGUUAUGCAAGAUAUGCCCAUGAUGCG